rnacentral:rRNA from 1 species
CCAAUAGCGUAUAUUAAAGUUGUUGCAGUUAAAAAGCUCGUAGUUGAAUUUCGGGGUCAAUAAGUUGGUCGUGCCAAUGGUAUGUACUGGCUUUAUUGAUUCCUACCUCUUGACGAACUGUGAUGCCAUUAAUUUGGUGUUGCAGGAAAUCAGGACUGUUACCUUGAAAAAAUUAGAGUGUUUAAAGCAGGCUUACGCUUGAAUACAUUAGCAUGGAAUAAUGAAAUAGGACGUUUGAACCUAUUUUGUUGGUUUCUAGGAUCGACGUAAUGAUUAAUAGGGAUAGUUGGGGGCAUUAGUAUUCAAUGUUCAGAGGUGAAAUUCUUGGAUUUAUUGAAGACUAACUACUGCGAAAGCAUUUGCCAAGGAUGUUUUCAUUAAUCAAGAACGAAAGUUAGGGGAUCGAAGACGAUCAGAUACCGUCGUAGUCUUAACCAUAAACUAUGCCGACUAGGGAUCGGAUGAUGUUAAUUUUUUAAUGACUCAUUCGGCGCCUUACG